UGGCCAGUCUUGAAGUUGACCUGGGAUGGCCAAAGUCGUAUGUAGGGUGGACGUGUUCUUAACUGGCUCCCAGGGGUCUGGUCCUCAGUUCCCAAUGCCAGUGGUGGAUGGCCCUCCUUGCUGCUGCUCUGAGCGCCUGUGGCCCGACCGUUUUGGUUCAUGUGGAAAAGAAUGGUUUUGACUGUGUACAGUUAACUUGAUGUCUGGCCCUCUCUUCGGUCAGCUCUUCGAAGCUGUGGUUGGAGAGCAGCUUGGAUGGACGGAAGAAGCGGCUGUAAGAAGUGCCCUAACGUGGGGAUGAGGCCUGUGGGUUUCCUUCCCACCUUCCUUUUUCAGGCCGUUUGAGCACAUGUUAUGUGCCAGGUGCAGUAAUAGGUGUGUGGGGACAGUCAUGAAUGAGGUGGACACAGUCCCUGCCCUGACAUGUAAUAAUAGGGGGACUUACGUAGCCUUGGGGGGUUUCCGUACUAUCGUUCAAUCCCCCCAACAGACCGUGGGCUAGAUAACGUCAUGCCUACUGUAUAGAUGAGAGAACCAAAACUCAGAAAAAUGAACAAACUUCCCCAAGGUCACAUAACUGUUAAAACGGCAAACCUGCAUUUGAAUCCAGAUUUCAGUUCAACCCCGGAGCCUGUGCUGUGUCUGCUGCCCUGGGAACUCACCUGUGUCGGGGGCAGCUGGGGCCAAAGCUCGAACAUGAAGCUGCCGUGAUCAGGGGCUGCUGUAAGAGGUGUAGACGGGGAGACAGGAUUUGUAACUAGGCCUGGAAGUCUGCCCAGCCCCGUGGUGCUGGAGGAGGGAGGCGCAAUUAGCCACUGCAGGCAGUUUGAGCAAAGGCCCGGGGGUAGGAAAGCACAAGAAGUAUUUGAGGAAUACCUCCUAGGUGAGUGUGUGCCUGCGGGACAGGGUCGGGGGGCAGGGAGCGGAGUGGAGAUGAGCCUGGGAAGGAACAUAGAGGGCCCUGAUUUUGGAAUCAGCCUCUGGUCACACUGGGAGGGAUAGAUCAUUGUAGGGUGAGGCUGGGCACAUGAGUGCCUCUACUGAACCCUGCAGGAUGAAAGGGGCACUCACACCUUCUUGUUAACCGUGCUCUGAAGAUGUUCCCCAGGGGACUUAGGCUCCAUAAUAGGACAGCAAAUGUGCUUCUUGUUGGGGUUGCCAGCCUCUGCAGAGAAUGUUCGAUUAACAGUGUCUGCUUUGGGUACCUGAGGGGCAUGUGGCACAGAGGGGCCAGGGGUGUGCCUCUCUGUAGGUUUCACUCAACAUCGAAACUGUAAAUCGAGCGGCAUUGUUUUUGUUCUGCCUCAGUGUUCCCUCCCGAGCACUUGUGCCUGGUGUCCGCGGAGCCCUCUGAAGACAGCAGGACUUCACGGUGCUCAGGGCCUCGCGGGGGUGGGGGGGUGGGGGGGGUGGGGCAGUGCCCUUGAGUCUAGCAGAUUGUGAGCCUGGGGCCAAACAAGUUGCUGGGGACACAUUUCAGAGAGGCUGAUGGAGAAGCAAUGGUUUUCUUGUCAUUAUGGGUCUCAUUUCACACCCCACAUCCCUUUGACCACAAGGAUUCUUUACCCUGGGGUCUGUGCAUAGAAUUCAGGGAGUCCGCGAAUUUGGAGGGGGAAUACAUGGAACCUUUAUUUUCAUUAACCUUAACUGAAAUUUAAUAUGUUACUCAGUUUGGAUGUAGGCAACAAGGCCCAAUCAUCUUAGCAAACAUGUGCGACUCUGUCACCAGCGAAAAGCACAGCUGUGUGCAUAUCAUGUUACAGUUGUGGCCAUAUCUAAAAAAGUAGUUGACACGUCGCAGCUUCAAAGCUAUCAUAGUUGUGAGAGCCACUGGCAGCUUUCAUUUGAUGCUUUAAUGAAGAAGGGCUUUUAGUACUCUACCACCAUUCUAAAUAAUAUUUUGAGAAAUGUCUUUAGAUCUAACUGAUCUCCUUUAUAAUCCCAAGUGCUUUGUCUGAAGCUGUAUUCUUAGAAAGGGACCAGGGCUACCUCCCUAGAAGGCCAGAGCUGCCCAUGGUCCCAAAAUGGUCAAGAGCUCCUGUUUGGAAUUUAGGAUCCUUUCUAGAUAUUUGAAAUGUUGUCAUUAAUUAGUAUUACUUCUUAGUAUAGUGACCGUGUUGACAAAAACAGUGCGUACCCUUUAGAGAAAUACACUGAGGUACUUACAGAGGAGGAAGAAAGGAAUGUGAACAACAUAAACCCUCGAAGAGAGGUAGAACUGGAAGGUGGCCCCAAAUGGCAAGGCACCUGCACAGGACUUUGAAGGUGAUGCAUGCCUUCCAGGAAGGUUGAAAGUCACCAAGAGGAGGCGGCUGGAGUCUCGUCAGCCUGACGGCAGCCCUCAUGGGGUCCCUGGGUCGCUGGAUCUCAGCCGAACCGGGCAGCUCCCUGGUCCCUCUUCUUGGGGGCCGUGAGGUCAUUUCCAUCUGUUCCAGUCAGCUAGCCCUUCUUUUUUUAAUCAGCCCCAGGCCGUGACCUGCUCCCCGCCCCCAUCCCGCCCCCCUCUACAUUCCUCAGGACCGUGCGGCCUAGCCUGUUGGAGCCCAGCGUUUGUCAGAACUCCAGGCCGACCUCAGCCAGGCCGUCCUUAUUUAAGCUUACUUCAUUGAAGUUUUAGCCUUUUGAGAGGCUUUUGAAAACCGUGGACCCUCUUCCCUUGGAAAACGCAUCUGAAAUUUGCACACGUUCUGCCCAUUGGCGAACCCGAGUCAAGGACCUUUGCCAGUAAGGCCACAUCCCCAAAGGCAUGGCCUGCUCUGUGUGUGCUUGCGUGUCACGCACCGAGCGCCUCAUUUCUUCUCAGCGUCCCCGAGAGGGAGGUUCUGUUAUUAUCCCGUUUCCUGGAGGAGGAAACGGAGGCUUUUUCUGGGGGUGGGGUUCAGUAACUUGUCCAAGGUCACCGGGCUGAAGUGCGCCCGAGUCCCCGGAUCUCAACUCGCGCAGUGCGAGUCUAGGCUGGAAGCAUCCUAAGUGGAAGGUUCCUCGUUCUCUCCAAACCCCCAUAUCUUCUCUAUCCUCAGUUACCAACCAGUCCCGCACCCCUCCCCAGGCAGGAAGCCCUUCUUCUGUUUUAACCCCGUUCUCUGUUCUGAACAGUGUUGCCCAUUGCUCUCUGAGGAGCGUAGUCCCGAGGGUGAGGCAGUGUCAGCCAGCUUUGGGGUGAGGAGGGGCCAAUGGGUGGUCGUCCCGGUUUCCCGCUGGCCUUCUCAGACCCUUCUCCUCUCCUCCUCCUUCCCGUGUCCUCCUUCACUGCUGGGGAAUCCCGCCGACUGCUGUGUUGGCCAGAGCUCCCGUGUACAGGGCCGCCACGUGCAUGAGCCCCAAAUGAACUGGCUUUUUCUUUCCUGGGCUCCCCACAG